rnacentral:lncRNA from 1 species
AUCGAGCUCAAUUAUAAAAGAAAUUUGAUCCUGAUUCGAUCAGAAUUUUGAUUUGGUUAAUUUCUAAUUGAGUUAGAAAUUUGAUGAGAUAGUUAGAUUUCUAAUUGGAUUAGAUUCAUUUCUAUUAGUGGGUUCAAUUCAAAUUUUAUUUGGAUUAGAAUUGAAUUAGAAAUGAAGAAUCCAAGUCAAAUUCGGACUCUAUCCUUAUCUCCUGC